GGAGCUGUAGCUCAAUGGCAGAGCAUCUGCUCUGCAUGCAGAACACCCCAGGUUCAAUUUCCAAUAGCAUCUCCA